UGUGGGAGCGAGCUUGCUCGCGAUGGCGGCGGACCAUUCAACAUGGAUGCAAGCUGUACCACCGCUAUCGCGAGCAAGCUCGCUCCCACA
rnacentral:antisense_RNA from 1 species